rnacentral:rRNA from 1 species
CCUACGGGUGGCAGCAGUGAGGAAUAUUGGUCAAUGGACGAGAGUCUGAACCAGCCAAGUAGCGUGAAGGAUGACUGCCCUAUGGGUUGUAAACUUCUUUUAUAUGGGAAUAAAACGUUCCACGUGUGGGAUUUUGUAUGUACCUUAUGAAUAAGGAUCGGCUAACUCCGUGCCAGCAGCCGCGGUAAUACGGAGGAUCCGAGCGUUAUCCGGAUUUAUUGGGUUUAAAGGGAGCGUAGGUGGAUUGUUAAGUCAGUUGUGAAAGUUUGCGGCUCAACCGUAAAAUUGCAAUUGAAACUGGCAGUCUUGAGUACAGUAGAGGUGGGCGGAAUUCGUGGUGUAGCGGUGAAAUGCUUAGAUAUCACGAAGAACUCCGAUUGCGAAGGCAGUUCACUGGACUGCAACUGACACUGAGGCUCGAAAGUGUGGGUAUCAAACAGGAUUAGAUACCCUUGUAGUC